rnacentral:rRNA from 1 species
ACAAGGUGUCACACGGGAACUGCCGGUCAUAAACCGGAGGAAGGUGGGGAUGGACGUCAAGUCAGCAUGGCCUUUAUAUCCUGGGCUACACACACGCUACAAUGGGAAGGGACAAUAGGUUGCGAAACCGCGAGGUGGAGCCAAUCCAGCAAAACUCCCUCAGUUCAGAUUGCAGGCUGCAACUCGCCUGCAUGAAGUUGGAGUUGCUAGUAAACGCAGGUCAGCCAUACUGCGUUGAAUACGUUCCCGGGGCUU